rnacentral:lncRNA from 1 species
CUGAACCCAGGCGCUUUCUACGGCUCUCUUUCCUCUUGGUCAGCUCCAAGUAUGAGAUUUAUGAACGUUGAAGAGGUUCCCAGUGCUGUUAAAAGAUCAUCUUGAAGAUGCCUGUAGAGGGAGGCAAUUUGCUUUGAUCCAGCUACCUUAAUAGUGAAUUUGUCCUGAAACUGAAAAGAUGCUUCAAGACAGUUCGACGUGUCAAGGCAGG